UACGUAGGGUGCGAGCGUUGUCCGGAAUUAUUGGGCGUAAAGGGCUCGUAGGCGGUCUGUCGCGUCGGGAGUGAAAACUCAGGGCCUUAACCCUGAGCCUGCUUCCGAUACGGGCAGACUAGAGGUAUGCAGGGGAGAACGGAAUUCCUGGUGUAGCGGUGAAAUGCGCAGAUAUCAGGAGGAACACCGGUGGCGAAGGCGGUUCUCUGGGCAUUACCUGACGCUGAGGAGCGAAGGUGUGGGGAGCGAACAGG
rnacentral:rRNA from 1 species